UACAGAGGUCUCAAGCGUUGUUCGGAUUCAUUGGGCGUAAAGGGUGCGUAGGUGGCGCGCUAAGUCAGGUGUGAAAUCUCGGAGCUUAACUCCGAAACUGCAUUUGAUACUGGCGUGCUUGAGGACUGGAGAGGAGACUGGAAUUCACGGUGUAGCAGUGAAAUGCGUAGAUAUCGUGAGGAAGACCAGUGGCGAAGGCGGGUCUCUGGACAGUUCCUGACACUGAGGCACGAAGGCCAGGGGAGCAAACGGG
rnacentral:rRNA from 1 species